GGGGCUUUAGCUCAGUGGUAGAGCGCCUGCUUCGCAUCCACCCCCUAAUGGAAGAAAAGUGAAAAGUAGGAGGCCCUGGGUUCAAACCCCAGAUGCUCCA